GAGAGCAUACGGGGAACUGAUUUAUCGAUUUUUAUAGACAGGUAGAUAAAUGAAUGGAUAGGUAGUCGAUCGACUGAUGGAUAGAAAGUAGGAGAGGGGUGUCUUCGUGGAGGAGCUCCUAAGGGUCACUGGCUCGUAUACAAAUUACACAUGGGUAAAACCACCCAAACGCCCAUGCAGCCAGCACGUUUGCAGGAUUCGGACCCCGGACCGAACUACGACUGUUCAACAAUUUUACCACUCGGCUGCUGGUGGGCUGGAGACAAGUAAGCAGAUAGGUAG